UACAGAGGCCUCGAGCGUUAGGCGGAAUCACUGGGCUUAAAGCGUGUGUAGGCGGACUUCUAAGUACCUUGUGAAAUCCCACGGCUCACCCGUGGAACUGCUCGGUAUACUGGUCGUCUUGAGCCUUCUAGGGGCGAGCGGAACAAGUGGUGGAGCGGUGAAAUGCGUAGAUAUCACUUGGAACGCCAACGGUGAAAACAGCUCGCUGGGGGUAUCCUGACACUGAGGCACGAAAGCGUGGGGAGCAAACAGG
rnacentral:rRNA from 1 species